GGAUCCAGACUUGAUUCUGGCUCAGGAUGAACGCUAGCUACAGGCUUAACACAUGCAAGUCGAGGGGAAACGACAUCGAAAGCUUGCUUUUGAUGGGCGUCGACCGGCGCACGGGUGAGUAACGCGUAUCCAACCUGCCCACCACUUGGGGAUAACCUUGCGAAAGUAAGACUAAUACCCAAUGAUAUCUCUAGAAGACAUCUGAAGGAGAUUAAAGAUUUAUCGGUGAUGGAUGGGGAUGCGUCUGAUUAGCUUGUUGGCGGGGUAACGGCCCACCAAGGCGACGAUCAGUAGGGGUUCUGAGAGGAAGGUCCCCCACAUUGGAACUGAGACACGGUCCAAACUCCUACGGGAGGCAGCAGUGAGGAAUAUUGGUCAAUGGACGAGAGUCUGAACCAGCCAAGUAGCGUGCAGGAUGACGGCCCUAUGGGUUGUAAACUGCUUUUAUAAGGGAAUAAAGUGAGUCUCGUGAGACUUUUUGCAUGUACCUUAUGAAUAAGGACCGGCUAAUUCCGUGCCAGCAGCCGCGGUAAUACGGAAGGUCCGGGCGUUAUCCGGAUUUAUUGGGUUUAAAGGGAGCGUAGGCCGGAGAUUAAGCGUGUUGUGAAAUGUAGACGCUCAACGUCUGCACUGCAGCGCGAACUGGUUUCCUUGAGUACGCACAAAGUGGGCGGAAUUCGUGGUGUAGCGGUGAAAUGCUUAGAUAUCACGAAGAACUCCGAUUGCGAAGGCAGCUCACUGGAGCGCAACUGACGCUGAAGCUCGAAAGUGCGGGUAUCGAACAGGAUUAGAUACCCUGGUAGUCCGCACGGUAAACGAUGGAUGCCCGCUGUUGGUCUGAAUAGGUCAGCGGCCAAGCGAAAGCAUUAAGCAUCCCACCUGGGGAGUACGCCGGCAA
rnacentral:rRNA from 1 species